GGUGGACGUGCGGUGUUGGGUCGGANACGCUCCGCUAACCCAUAAGCGAAAUGAAAGUGAAGGCCACCUUUGCGGGGCCGAGGGAGGACGGAGACGGAAACGCCUCCUGCACUCCCGGGGCGUCUGAUUCCUCAUUGCGAGGGAAGGCGCACCCAGAGCGCACACGUUGGGACCCGAAAGUGGGUGAACUAUUAA
rnacentral:rRNA from 1 species